AUGGAAAGGAAGGUUCCUAAAAGGCACCGGUCGGGGUCCCAGACACGCUCCGAAGAUGUGACUCACAUGAGUUGCGCGGGUGAGCGGGGCCCGGGGCUCCCUGAAGGUCGGAGCCCGCAAUCCAGGCCACGCGGCGCGCCCCGCGCGGGGCUCCCCCAGGUGCACGCCGGAGGGCUCCUCCCCGCUCGGGGGCCCGGAGGCCGCCCCCCCCCCCGCCGCCGCCGCCGCCGCAUCACGCGCCCACGCUCCGCGAACACGCGUGUCCCUCCCUCCCCGUCCGCGGGCCGGAGGCGCGGACCCCGGUCUUACCCCGAGCAGGCGCGGCCCCGGGGGCCUCCCGCGCGGGGCUCCCGGGCGCCCGGCUCCGCUGGCUGCCUCCGCUUCGCUGUCCUCGGCCGGGCCCCGGCCGCCCGGCGGCUCCGCUUCCCUCCGCAGCAGGCGGCCGGGCGGCACCGGGGCGCACGCGGCGGGCUCCGGGCUCCGGCCCCGGCUCCGGCCCCGGCUCCGGCCCCCCUCCUCCCGCCGCCCGCCGCCGACCUGGCGCUCGCGGGCUCGGGGUCCGCGGCUCCGGGGCGCGGGGGUCGUGGGGUGCUCCGGCUGCCCCGCGCUCCCUCCCGCGCGGCCCCUCUCGCGGGGGCGCCUCGCUCGCGGCGCGCGGGCGUCACGGGCUCGGGGCGCGGGGGGACGGCGACGGCGCGGGCCCCGGGGCGGCGGGCGGGGGCGCUGCUGCGGACGGGGGCACUGAUGCGGGCGCCGCGGCGCGGCCUCUCGCCAUGGCUCCCCCGCGGGCGGGCGGCUCGCGCCUCCCCUCCGCGCUGCCGUCACCGCCCGACGCGCGCCGAGCCCUCCCCUUGCCCGGCCCCGCCCGCGCGCCGGCCCGCGCCGCCACCUGCGAGCCGCCCUCCGGGAUGCUCGCCCGACGGAGCGCGCCCGGGACGCAGCGAGCCGCUGCCGGAGGCCCGCCGUGCGCUUGCACCUGCGCCGCGGGGCUCGGAGAGGAACCCGGCGCAGUGCUCGGUGGGGGAACUGCCGCGCCCCGCCGCCCCCGCCGCCCCCGCCGCCCCCGCCGCGCCCCGCCCCGCGCGCUCACUGAACUCGGGCGCCUUUCGGCGCGCGCCUAGGGUCAGUCUGAGGGGCACACGGGACUCUCGCGUGCACCGUUGGCCACUAAAGCAACGAAGGCCAGGCUUUCCUGCAGCUCGGAAGUCUAGGAAAGCAACCCUGAGGCUUAAGCUGGGGGAGGACAGAGCGGGGGGCGGGGGCGGGGGCGAGGGGGGCUUGUGGAUGGACCGUCUGAAAAAAUGCCACCGACGGACGGGCGGGGGGCGGGGGCGGAAUCAGAAAAGGAUCCAGGAAGUCGGUGCUCACAAGCCACUGUAUUAUGCAAAUCACUAG
rnacentral:lncRNA from 1 species